GCCCGCUUAGCUCAGCGGUAGAGCGCGCCACUCGUAGUAGCCUUUCACUGAGCUAUGUGAUGGUGAGGUCGGUUGUUCAAUCCAGCCAGUGGGCA